GAUGAACGCUGGCGGCGUGCCUAAUACAUGCAAGUCGAGCGAACAGACGAGGAGCUUGCUCCUCUGACGUUAGCGGCGGACGGGUGAGUAACACGUGGAUAACCUACCUAUAAGACUGGGAUAACUUCGGGAAACCGGCGCUAAUACCGGAUAAUAUAUUGAACCGCAUGGUUCAAUAGUGAAAGACGGUUUUGCUGUCACUUAUAGAUGGAUCCGCGCCGCAUUAGCUAGUUGGUAAGGUAACGGCUUACCAAGGCAACGAUGCGUAGCCGACCUGAGAGGGUGAUCGGCCACACGGGAACUGAGACACGGACCAGACUCCUACGGGAGGCAGCAGUAGGGAAUCUUCCGCAAUGGGCGAAAGCUUGACGGAGCAACGCCGCGUGAGUGAUGAAGGUCUUCGGAUCGUAAAACUCUGUUAUUAGGGAAGAACAAAUGUGUAAGUAACUAUGCACGUCUUGACGGUACCUAAUCAGAAAGCCACGGCUAACUACGUG
rnacentral:rRNA from 1 species